GACAGAGGUGCCGAGCGUUAGGCGGAAUCACUGGGCUUAAAGCGUGUGUAGGCGGACUUCUAAGUACCUUGUGAAAUCCCACGGCUCAACCGUGGAACUGCUUGGUAUACUGGUCGUCUUGAGCCAUCUAGGGGCUGUCGGAACAAAUGGUGGAGCGGUGAAAUGCGUAGAUAUCAUUUGGAACGCCAAAGGUGAAAACAGACAGCUGGGGAUGUGCUGACGCUGAGACACGAAAGCCAGGGGAGCGAACAGG
rnacentral:rRNA from 1 species